GAUGAACGCUGGCGGCGUGCCUAAUACAUGCAAGUCGAGCGAACGGACGAGAAGCUUGCUUCUCUGAUGUUAGCGGCGGACGGGUGAGUAACACGUGGAUAACCUACCUAUAAGACUGGGAUAACUUCGGGAAACCGGAGCUAAUACCGGAUAAUAUUUUGAACCGCAUGGUUCAAAAGUGAAAGACGGUCUUGCUGUCACUUAUAGAUGGAUCCGCGCUGCAUUAGCUAGUUGGUAAGGUAACGGCUUACCAAGGCAACGAUGCAUAGCCGACCUGAGAGGGUGAUCGGCCACACGGGAACGGAGACACGGUCCAGACUCCUACGGGAGGCAGCAGUAGGGAAUCUUCCGCAAUGGGCGAAAGCCUGACGGAGCAACGCCGCGUGAGUGAUGAAGGUCUUCGGAUCGUAAAACUCUGUUAUUAGGGAAAAACAUAUGUGUAAGUAACUGUGCACAUCUUGACGGUACCUAAUCAGAAAGCCACGGCUAACUACGUG
rnacentral:rRNA from 1 species